rnacentral:rRNA from 1 species
AACGAACGCUGGCGGCAGGCUUAACACAUGCAAGUCGAACGAUGUAGCAAUACAUAGUGGCGCACGGGUGAGUAACGCGUGGGAAUGUACCUUAUAGUGGGGAAUAACGUUGGGAAACUAACGCUAAUACCGCAUACGCCUUCGGGAAGAUUAUCGCUAUAAGAAUCAGCCCGCGUGAGAUUAGGUAGUUGGUGGGUAAGUGGCCUACCAAGCCUACGAUCUCUAGCUGGUCUGAGAGGAUGAUCAGCCACACUGGAACUGAGACACGGCCCAGACUCCUACGGGAGGCAGCAGUGGGGAAGUAUUGGACAAUGGGCGAAAGCCUGAUCCAGCAAUGCCACGUGAGUGAUGAAGGCCUUAGGGUUGUAAAG